rnacentral:rRNA from 1 species
GACGAACCGUGCGAACGUUAUUCGGAAUCACUGGGCUUAAAGCGCGUGUAGGCGGGACGGCACGUCGGUCGCUGAAAGCCCCCGGCUCAACCGGGGAACGGGCGCCGAUACGACCGUCCUGGAGGGACGUAGGGGGACCUGGAACUUCCGGUGGAGCGGUGAAAUGCGUUGAGAUCGGAAAGGACACCAACGGCGAAAGCACUCUGCUGGGCCGACACUGACACUGAGAGACGAAAGCUAGGGGAGCAAAUGGG